AUGUAGGGCAAUCUGUCUUAGAAAUUCUUGGAAAAAGAAUCCUAGAUAGUUUUCCCUUUAAGUCAGCUGUCUUUU
rnacentral:pre_miRNA from 1 species